AAAAAGGGCUUCUGCCGUGAUUGGCACAGGAAUCGUGGGUAACACCAUGUUUCUUGCGGAAUCGCUAUCAAGAGAUUUCGGAAGCAUAAUUUUUGAAAACUGGGGCUGCUAGUGAUCAUCUGUCCGGGCGCCCCA
ensembl:snRNA